rnacentral:lncRNA from 1 species
AACAGCAGAAAAAGAUUUUUUUAUAUCCAUCCAUCCGACUUUCACUUGGUCUCCACAUAUAUAUAUAUACCCUCUUAGUGUCAUGCUGUUGGAAAGAACGGGAUAGUUUUUUUUAUGUAGGAAGCGAUGCCUCGCACGGGCAUCCAGCUGAUUUACAGAAAGUGACCUCAAUUAUAGUAAGAACGGCUUCGCUUUGCAUUCCUUGAUUGCAUGACUUAAGAAAAACCACACCAAAG